CCUACGGGAGGCAGCAGUGAGGAAUAUUGGUCAAUGGGCGGAAGCCUGAACCAGCCAAGUCGCGUGAAGGAUGAAGGUGCUAUGGAUCGUAAACCUCUUUUGUCAAGGGAUAAAAUCCGGCUCGUGUGCCUGACCGUGUGUACCUUAUGAAUAAGGAUCGGCUAACUCCGUGCCAGCAGCCGCGGUAAUACGGAGGAUGCGAGCGUUAUCCGGAUUUAUUGGGGUUAAAGGGUGCGUAGGCGGCCUUUUUAGGCUGCGGGGAAAGGCCGGGGGGCAACCCCAGCCUGGCCGUUGAAACUGGGGGGCUUGAGAUGGCGGGAGGAAGGCGGAAUGCGGGGGGUAGCGGUGAAAUGCUUAGAUAUUGCGCAGAACCCCGAUUGCGAAGGCAGCAUGCCGGGGG
rnacentral:rRNA from 1 species